ACACCUUAGGUUUUGUGGGCUUCCUUUUUAUGUGCAUCAUUAUCAUUUGGAUUAUUUUUUUGAAUGAAAGGUCAACAGGCCUUAUUUUAUUAAAAAGCAAAGGCAAUAUAUAUGUGCAUCACUGAAAACAAAAUCAUUACAACCUGGCCCAAUCUGAAACCAACAAAGAAAACAAACCAAUCAAAUAAAAACAAGAAAAGACUGAAACAAAAGAAAAUUCUAGAUGAAAAAGGAAAGUGGAAGGCAUUAUCAUUUGGAUUUACCAUUAUUAUAUGCUUUAUUUUUAAGACACAUUUGGUUUUUUGGGCUUCAUCUUUAUGUGCAUCAUUAUCAUUUGGAUUUUCUUAGUGUAUUUUUCUUUAAAGAAGUUAAAGAAUUUAAGUAAUAUUAAUAUAUAUUAUCAUACAUGGAUAUAUAUUAAUGUAUAUUAUUAUUUUCUUAAGUUCUCAUUGUUCUUGAUUGUGUUAUACAUGUUCUUAUGUUUGGUUCACAAUAUACAAGUCUACAACAUCUGAAUUUACUCCAUGUUGCUUUGUUUUGUGAUACACAAUGUAUGUUUAGUUGGUGUGAGGAAGUGAAAUAACUUUCAUUUGCAUGCAUCAUUCCAAUAGUCCUAUCUUUGAAAUGCAAAAGAAAUAUAAGGGAACAAGUCAUGCUUUUGUCUGAGAAUAAGAGACUGAAUUUGUCCCUAGUUGAGGUGGGCAUAAGGUCAAGAUAUGAGUCUCUUUGGAUAGAACAUAUUUUAAAAACUAUUUUAUGCCUUCACUGAAACUUUUUGUUAUCUAAAUUACUAUUGUUAUAUGCUUUAUUUUUAAGACACCUUAGGUUUUGUGGGCUUCCUUUUUAUGUGCAUCAUUAUCAUUUGGAUUAUUUUUUUGAAUGAAAGGUCAACAGGCCUUAUUUUAUUAAAAAGCAAAGGCAAUAUAUAUGUGCAUCACUGAAAACAAAAUCAUUACAACCUGGCCCAAUCUGAAACCAACAAAGAAAACAAACCAAUCAAAUAAAAACAAGAAAAGACUGAAACAAAAGAAAAUUCUAGAUGAAAAAGGAAAGUGGAAGGCA
rnacentral:lncRNA from 1 species